rnacentral:rRNA from 1 species
UACAGAGGGGGCAAGCGUUGUUCGGAAUUACUGGGCGUAAAGGGCGCGUAGGCGGCCUUCUAAGUCGAACGUGAAAUCCCCGGGCUCAACCCGGGAACUGCGUCCGAUACUGGAAGGCUUGAAUCCGGGAGAGGGAUGUGGAAUUCCAGGUGUAGCGGUGAAAUGCGUAGAUAUCUGGAGGAACACCGGUGGCGAAGGCGGCAUCCUGGACCGGUAUUGACGCUGAGGCGCGAAAGCCAGGGGAGCAAAGCGGG